UGUGAACUAUUCUCUCUCACUCUGGGCCACGCGGCUCACCCUCCAACUCAAAACAGCUGCAGGGAAAGCACACUUUACCCUCAACAACCAGCAAGUCUCUGACUCAAAGUGAUACUCCCUUUAAAGAGGAUUUCCUGGUAAUCCAACCUAAAACCUCACCCCCCACCGCUUCCCAGUGUCAAGUUUCUAUUCAAAGCAGAAAUCAGAGGAGCCAAACCCCAGGAUCAGGAUAAACCCAGAGCCUUCGGAGACACGACCUGCACUGUUACUCACAAUUAUCUGCAAUUGCUUUCUUAUAUACAGUAUUCUCCUAUUUUUUUAAAUCAAUUCUUUCCAAACUAGGCAGAUGCCUAAAUGUAUCAAAGAAAGUUUACGGCAUUCCCAACUGAGUAUUAAAACACCACCUUGUCUAGAUAAACACACAAACACCCCAGCAGAAGCAGACAAGCUGCGCACUAGAAGCAGGCUGGGCCAGGGCCGGGUACGAGCACAGAGGGCACAAGACCCGCAAGAGAAAAGCGGGGCGGCGCUGACGCGGCCUGUUGCAGCAGCGUCCCUGGAAAGGACAAGCAGGACAGUCACGGGGACACACGGGCCCUGAAGGGGAUCUGCUCACUGUGUUUAAGCUCAAUCAAAGGCUGGCGAGGGGGCAAGAGGCCUUCUGUUCUGUUCCAGCAGGAGGUGACGUGGGCAGCGGGAAAGGCUCUGGUCUGUAGACCGACGCGCCUCAGGCUCACUCCUCAGUGCUGUGACCCUGGGCGAGGGUCACUGUCACCUGCAGGGCUGACUGGAGGAUCUCCCGAUGACUGCUAACUCUAGAGCCCUAUGAUUACACUUACACGUAAGAUGAUGAAGCCUGUAUUCCUACUCCGUACGUACCAGUGACGGUGAUUCUGUGUCAUGCACUUAUCAACCGACUUUUUACAAAUCAUAUUAUUUCAGAAGCUAUCAUGUAAGGCUGCCAUUUAAAGUAAUCAUCCUAACUACUUAUAUAAAAUUCAGAAUCGUAUAAGCAGUGGUCCCCACAGCGUGGGCCAGGAGCUCCAGCACUCCUGGGCACCUGAGCGCCUCACCCGACUGACCCACUUAGAAUCACCCGGGGGCGUCAGGCCCUCCUGGAGACAGCAGGGCCACACUGAGAGGCUCUGCUCUCCUUGGCCGGAGGGGGUGACCCAGACACUAGGACUUUUCUUAGGCGCUCCCCAGGUAAUUCUAGUCAUCAGCCGGGAUAAAAACCACUUCUGUCAAGGGACUAAUCUAUAAACCUACACACUUGGAUCAACAAAAGUUCUGCUUAGGCUCCAAAACUCUCAGGUUACUAAAACAAGCCCCAAUAUAUGGUUCCCCUUCUUUAAGGAGUUCAGAUAUUCUUACACAUAUUUAUAUGUAUCUCUUCAGAUUUUUCCCCCCAGGUUUUGUGGGGUUUUUUUUUUUUUUUUUUUUAGGAAGAUUGGCCCUGAGCUAACAUCUCAUCAGAUGUUUUUAAUUAAAACAUUUUUACAGAGGUACAGCCCUAUCAAGUAAGAAGAAUAUUCAUUUAAUCAACAGAAAGAUAAAGACUAAAGCAUCUGCUCCACCUUGCUAUUCAAAAAGGUCGUGUAAAUCCUCAAGAACUCAUAGUUCGUAAGAUAGGGACCAGAAAAACCUAUCAAACUCUACUUCUUAUGUUUAUUCCUCAUGUAACGUUUGAUCUUCACAGGGGCUGGCGCCUGCAGAUGAAGUGUAUUCAGAGGGAGGAGUAAGCAUUGCUGUGAACCACAGUGCAAGGCUCAUCUGGUGUCAUCCCCACGGAGCUGCCAGCUCCCGGGGACAGAGACGCUCAGCCAGCCCUUUGUGCUCCUGCUGCCUGGAGCACAGCUCAUGCUUAACUCCUGUUACUACAAAAGAAGGAACAUGCAGAGGCAGUAGAGAAUAAAAACGUUAAGUGGAAGUACAACACAGACACAUAGAAUCUCUCUCAUGUGUUUCUCUAAACCAGGAGUCUGGUGACUUCUUCUGUAAAGGGGCCUUUUUAGCCUUUGUGGGCCACAUGCAACUACCCAGCUCUGCAGUAACAGUACAAAAGCAGCCACAGACACUAAGUGAACAAACGGGUGUGCCGGUGUUUCAAUAAAGCUUUACUUCAUACAUGAACAGGCAGCUGGCCGGCCGGCCCGAGGGCUGCAGUUGACUCGCCCUGAUCUGAGCUAUUCUCUAAACCGCCGGGACAGUAAUUCACCCUUACGUCAUCACAGCUGGUACACGAGGAGGGAGCAUUAUCUCCCUUUUGGAAUUCACUAUUUCCAUGUUCCACAUCAGUGACUUCCUGAGAAGACACCCAGUGCGGACUUCUCGCCAAUGUGUCAUUCACCCAUGGAACCACGCUCUGGAUCAACACAACCCACACUCACAGUGUGGACCAGGGAAGCAUCACGGCAGCCACACAAUGCUGCUCACACAGCUGGCUGCUUUCUCCACCGCUGCUCCUCAAAGGGGAAAAGAAGAGGAGAAAGACCAAGGAAGCAGAAGGCUCAGAACACAGGCCGCCAUCAGAGGUUCACUUCCCAGCCGGCAAAGUGACAGCAACUGAGAACAGACGGUACAGACCCCCAGCCCACCUGCUCUUCCAGGCCUUUACCAUCAACACCACACGCCGAGGCUCCAUGUCGGGAAAACCUGCUGACUGCCUCGUCUAAAGAGCAGUCAGACAUGUGAGCUCUAACAAGGGCAUCUAAUUUGUGGGGAGAAAUCAUAAAAAUAUUUUUCACCUACCUAAUUCACAGAAGGAAAGUGUUAAGAAAGCACCUGGAAUUCAUCAAAGUUACAAAAAUUAUAAGUAGUUGAGUCAGAAGCUAAAUGAGAAAACUAACUUAAGUACUCGACUAUGUUGAUAUUUUUCAUGAACUAACAAAAAAGCUUUUUUUCCUUUUACAAAAUUUACCACAGUGACAGUAAUACUCAUUCGAUAACUAUUCAUGUACAAGAACUUGACGUCCAAAUAAUAUAGUCCUAAUUUUUUUCCCA